GGUGAAGAAAGGGAGCUCUCAGUCUGGGGCGAGCGCUCUAGUCAGCACCGAGGGAUGCUUAGGCAGUAGUCCUGGCAGCAGCAGCAGCGGCGGAGACAGGUCCACGUCCAUGAACCAGCGCACUGACCUGGGCACCUCCUAUUUGGACCUUGCCAAGGCGCUGUGGAGUUAUUUUUGAAGAAUGGAAGUGUUGAAGGUCUCCUGAACACCGCCGCCCUUCAGAUCUGGAGAAGACAUUUCAGCAGCCCUCAUGACCCACAUCCGGAGAAACUGUCUUCUUCAGACUCUUUGUAGAG